UACGGAGGAGGCAAGCGUUAUCCGGAAUUAUUGGGCGUAAAGCGUCCGUAGGUGGCUCUUCAAGUCUGCUGUCAAAGAGUGGGGCUUAACCCUGCAAAGGCAGUGGAAACUGAAAGGCUAGAGAGCCGUAGGGGUAGAGGGAAUUCCCGGUGUAGUGGUGAAAUGCGUAGAUAUCGGGAGGAACACCAGUGGCGAAGGCGACUACCUGGCCUGUUCUUGACGCUGAGGCGCGAAAGCUAGGGGAGCAAACGGG
rnacentral:rRNA from 1 species